AUUGAACGAUGGCGGCAGGCCUAACACAUGCAAGUCGAACGAGUGGCGGACGGGUGAGUAAUGUCUGGGAAACUGCCUGAUGGAGGGGGAUAACUACUGGAAACGGUAGCUAAUACCGCAUACCAUCAGAUGUGCCCAGCUGGGAUUAGCUAGUUGGUGGGGUAACGGCACACCAAGGCGACGAUCCCUAGCUGGUCUGAGAGAAUGACCAGCCACACGGGAACGGAGACACGGUCACGACUCCUACGUGAGGCAGCAGUGGUGAAUAUUGCACAAUGGGCGCAAGCCUGAUGCAGCCAUGCCGCGUGUAUGAAGAAGGCCUUCGGGUUGUAAAGUACUUUCAGCGGGGAGGCGUUACCCUCAGAAGAAGCACCGGCUAACUCCGUGCCAGCCGCCGCGGUAAUAC
rnacentral:rRNA from 1 species